rnacentral:rRNA from 1 species
UGGUUUUAAUUCGNUGCAACGNGAAGAACCUUACCCAGGCUUGACAUNUAGGGAACCCUUCGGAAAUGAAGGGGUGCCNUUCGGGGAGCCCUAAGACAGGUGNNGCAUGGCNGUCGUCAGCUCGUGCCNUGAGGNGUUGGGUUAAGUCCCGCAACGAGCGCAACCCCUAUCUUCAGUUGCCAGCAGGUAAGGCUGGGCACUCUGGAGAGACCGCCCCGGUCAACGGGGAGGAAGGUGGGGACGACGUCAAGUCAUCAUGGCCCUUACGCCUGGGGCUACACACGUACUACAAUGGCGCGCACAAAGGGUAGCGAGACCGCGAGGUGGAGCCAAUCCCAAAAAACGCGUCCCAGUCCGGAUUGGAGUCUGCAACUCGACUCCAUGAAGUCGGAAUCGCUAGUAAUUCGAGAUCAGCAUGCUCGGGUGAAUGCGUUCCCGGGCCUUGUACACACCGCCCGUCACACCACGAAAGUCGGUUUUACCCGAAGCCGGUGAGCUAACUCGCAAGAGAAGCAGCCGUCUACGGUAGGGCCGAUGAUUGGGGUG